AUGGCCUCCUCUUCCUAUGUCCUUCUCUUCGCUCUUCUUGCGUUGGCCUCAUGGCAGGCUAUAGCUUCUGAUCCGAGCCCCCUGCAAGACUUUUGUGUCGCAGACAACAGCUCACAUGUUCCAGUUCUAGUUAACGGAUUUGCAUGUAAAGACCCAAAGGACGUGAAGGCCGAAGACUUUUUCUUGGCGGCCAAACUCGACAUGCCGAGAGACACAAAGGCGAACAAAGUUGGGUCCAAUGUCACUUUGAUCAAUGUAAUGCGGAUUCCUGGCCUCAACACAUUGGGCAUCUCCCUGGCGCGCAUCGACUAUGCACCUCUAGGCGAGAACCCACCGCACACUCACCCGCGUGCCACUGAGAUCCUCACCGUGCUUGAAGGGACCCUUUAUGUCGGCUUUGUCACAUCCAACCCAGACAACAAGUUCUUGUCGAAGGUGCUUAACAAGGGUGACGUGUUUGUAUUCCCAGAAGGUCUCGUCCACUUCCAAUUCAACCCUAACCCCUACAAACCAGCGGUGGCAAUCGCUGCACUUAGCAGCCAGAACCCUGGGGCUAUCACCAUUGCCAACGCUGUGUUUGGGUCAAAACCGGCAAUCUCAGACGAUGUUCUUGCCAAGGCGUUCCAAGUGGAGAAGAAGACCGUAGACUGGCUUCAGGCUCAGUUUUGGGCAGACAACCAGAACUAA
rnacentral:rRNA from 1 species